rnacentral:rRNA from 1 species
UACGUAGGGGGCUAGCGUUGUCCGGAUUUAUUGGGCGUAAAGAGCGUGUAGGCGGCCAGAUAGGUCUGCUGUGAAAACUCGAGGCUCAACCUCGAGCUGUCGGCGGAAACCAUUUGGCUAGAGUCCGGAAGAGGAAAGUGGAAUUCCUGGUGUAGCGGUGAAAUGCGCAGAUAUCAGGAAGAACACCAAUGGCGAAAGCAGCUCUCUGGGACGGUACUGACGCUGAGGCGCGAAAGCGUGGGGAGCAAACAGG